rnacentral:rRNA from 1 species
ACUCAAAGGAAUUGACGGGGGCCCGCACAAGCGGUGGAGCAUGUGGUUUAAUUCGACGCAACGCGAAGAACCUUACCUGGGCUCGAACGGCUUAGGACCGGGGUAGAAAUACCUCUUUCCCGCAAGGGACCUGAGUCGAGGUGCUGCAUGGCUGUCGUCAGCUCGUGUCGUGAGAUGUUGGGUUAAGUCCCGCAACGAGCGCAACCCUUGUCCUGUGUUGCCAUCAUUUAGUUGGGCACUCUCAGGAGACCGCCAGCGAUAAGUUGGAGGAAGGUGGGGAUGACGUCAAGUCAUCAUGGCCUUUAUGUCCAGGGCUACACACGUGCUACAAUGGGCGGUACAAUACGCUGCAAACCCGCGAGGGGGAGCCAAUCGUAAAAAACCGCUCUCAGUUCGGAUUGCAGGCUGCAACUCGCCUGCAUGAAGCUGGAAUCGCUAGUAAUGGCAUAUCAGAAUGAUGCCGUGAAUACGUUCCCGGGCCUUGUACACACCGCCCGU